GUUAUUGGUGUUUAUUUUACAUCAUAAGGAUCAAGGUUGAUACCCUGGUGUGAGUGACAGAACAUACAGGUGACGUUUCCACACAACGACAGAUAAAAUAAUAAAUGUGUAAUUUCUGUCUUCCUUCUGUGAUUUCACUAUUUAACUCUACGCUUCUCGGAUAUUUUACUUCAUAAAGACAAAUCGUGGAAGUUUUUUAUUAUACUGUACUGUACUUCUGCCUUCAGGAAUUAUACCUCCCAUCAAGAAUUCUUUCUCUAAAUACAUACUCUUCUUAAUGCUAACCAAGUUCAUUUUGUAACUCCUGUAAUACUGUAUCUGUAUUUGAAUGAUGUCACAGCAAUGUUUUCUUGUGAUGUGCAUUACAGAGAGUGGCGAUGGUACGGUUCAUACGAGUUUGUAACACUCAAGUCGAUGGGGGAAAGUUUAUUAAUGCAUAAGACCUUGCCAACCUUAUGGUGUCUUUUAACUAAACAGGUGGCAUGCUAGGAACUCUCCCUUACUCCACCGAGAGGAUUCCAGCAUUUGCCGUCCUCUCUGUGUUGAUGGUCAUCCUGCUUGUGUGCUACUGGUACAGAUCCCGUCAUCGACCAAAACGACGACGCAACAGAUUUCAUAAAGUGGUGAUGGCUGCUAUCAAUGGCCGCCUGCCAUCGGUGUGACCCGCCCGCUUCAAGAAUUUGGCCUAAUUUUACAGUAACUUAAUAUAUAAAUAAUUAAUAGAGUGAAUGGGUUUAUUUAUUAUUUACAUUUUGCAUUACAGUAUUUUGUUAAUUUUGUAUUUUUUAACAGUUGAUAGCAUCAUUACUUAUUUUUUUUUACGUUAUUGUUGGAAGUGAUAGUUCGACAUUUACAGUUUUGUGUAAAUUACUGUACUGUACCGGCAGAAAAAGAGUAGAUUAUUGUAUGAAAUAAUUUGUUCAGUUUUAGAGUCUUCAAGUGGUUUCGUCUUUCCGUAUCGUCCGACAAUGAGCGAUGUUAAUUGUUAUGUUUUCAAUAAUGUAAAUAAGAGAUUAAUUCAUGUAAAUAUACAGUACAUGGAAUAGAUAAAAAAAAAUCAAGUCUAUUUUAGGCAACUAAGAAAAUAUAAAAUAUGUAAUUGUCAAGUUUGAUAAAAUAUCUUGACUAGAAAUAAUUUUUAGUAGAAUUUUAUAGUCUUUCAGGAGUGAUAGUUAUUGUGAUAAUGACAUCGUUAAUGGCUGCUUGAGUCGUUUGGGGGCAUUUUGAUCCAGUUAAACGGCUGACCUAUAGGAGAUGCCUUGUACUGUAAUCAGGGUCAAAUACACAAAGCUGACCAAUCACCAGUCAUGUCGCGUAACCGGAGCGGACCAUUUUGGUUUAAAGUUUGGUCAGGUGAGGUUGAUGACUAAGGUACUGUAUGUUAUUGAUCUACGGAUGAGUGAAGUGAGUGAUAUAGAACAGCCGUGUGUCACUUGAGGCUGUAGGUAUUGUCCAGACAGCUAUAACAUGAAGCUGAUAUUAUUGACCAACUUAACAAGCAGCUGUCAGAUGAAGCUUAAUAAUAUUGACCAAUCAGCUUUAAGCUCAAGGUCACAACCAUCACCCAGCAGAUCAAGCUUAAGUUUUUGUAUUUUAAUCUCGGAAAGAACAGGUGAAAAACAUGUACGUACUGUAUUGAUUUGCUGCCGACGUUUUUUCUGUAUUUGCUAAAGCAGUCAUUAACAGGUUCAGUUUGUGAUUGAGGUUCGGUGUUAGGGAGUAGCAGUCAGCUGAUGUGAGGUGCUCGAACAUGUCCAGUGUGUGUGUGUGUGUGCAAAAUGGCCUACAUGUUGAAAAAUAUCACGAAUGCGACUGUUAAACCGAUAACUAAUCUUUUUUUUUUUGCUGAAGUGGAUGACCCAGACAAUCCAAUUUAACUUAAUAAUCCUCGACAAGAUUAAUUAGGUUAGGUUAGGUUAUUUUAGUUUUUGUCACUUGAAAAUUUUACGUGUUUGCAGCUCUGUUCGUGGUAAUUAUUCCUAACAUAAACCAUCUUGUACACACUAUUUUCUCUGUCAUUUGUGUGUUUCAAAAAGUUACUGAAGAAGUGAGAAAGUCAGUGCAAACUUUUUUAAUAAUACUCCUGUUUUAAGUUUUAUGUAUUAUUGUAGUUUACUAGUGUGUGUGUGUGUGUGUGUGUGUGUGUGUGUGUGUGUGUGUGCCAGUAAUAUUUAAGUAAAUUUUUGUGUUGGUUUACAAGAGAAAAAAUAUUAAAUAACAGAUUUAUUAUGUAAAUUUAACCCUUUAGAGACGAUUCCACGACCCUAGCGAUCCUGCCCAGACAAUUCCCAUGACUCUUAUGAUUUUUACCGCCUGCACAUGAACAAUAAUACAGUACACAAUUAUAUAGGUCCUUAGCCAGCCUACCGUGUACAAAAAUUUACCCGGUGAAAAUUAUUAAAUAAUAUAUAAGUAUUGCAAGUGAAUUGAUUAUCAGAAUUAUACUAAAAUUAUCAUAGUUACUGAUAAUCCUAAACAUAUUCUAUCCUCAAUAAAGCCCAGAAGAUUGUCGCUAAAGGAUCAGGCCUUCGGAUUGGUUGUUACGGCUUCGUUUUUUAUGGAAUUAGAUUUAUUUUGAGUGUAAGAAUGAACGUAGACUGAAGCGAAAACAGUAAUUGUAGUAAAUAUGAAGGGCGAGUGAUUUUGUUGAACUUCCUCCCACACAAGAGAACAAUACAGUAUUUUAAUUAUGUACUUUAGUGUACUCUGGCCGUGGUUGUGUGUGUGUGUGUGUGUUUGUGUGUUCGUUCACCUGGGAUAUUUGUAAUACUAGUUUUAAUUUUUUUUGUAACCAAAGAAACAAUAUGUAAACUGAGUUGAUAAAGAAAAAUAGCUUCAACUCUUGCAUGCUCUUAUUUUGUAUUCAAGAUUGUGAUGUAGUUAGGUAGCACGUAGACCCUAGUAAACGUUAAGUUGUUGUCAACUCUAUGAUGUGAACGUUAGUAGCGUUUGGAGUUUGUCUUUAGUAUGGCCAAUGUGUAUUCUCAUAGCAUUUAUUAUCACACAAGUGGGUUAAUAAGUCAAUUUAUCAUACUGGUUUAUUAUUAUUAUUAUCACACAAAUAGGAUAAAAAAGUCGAUGUAUAAGCCGGGUUUACGAGGUUACGAUAAACCCGGGCGGUCAUUAAUAGUUUAAACACGUGACCAAAUAUUAUUAGACACCACAAGACAAAUCCAAAUUGUACCUCAUAUAUUUUGUAUCUCGAGCAAUAUCUAUUUUAUAAAGGUACGGUGUGUGUAAGUUUAGUACAUGUCUUUGUUAUUCCUUAUUGAGGCUUAAUCCCAGAACUGCCCAUAUAUUUCUAUAGUCUUUGUUCUAGGAGUUUUUUUUAUAUAAUAAUGAUAAAAACUGAUAGGUUACAAUCAUGCUUUGGAACUGAAUGUCAACAGAUUCUGAGACAGUCUUGUUUUUUCUCCGUUUAAUAAUAAGUUUAUUUUCUCCCUAAUUCACUGUUAGCGUCUGAAUAUUGUAAUUAUAUCCGCCAUUGAUAAACAAAACCUUCCAGAUGGAUUACAUUUAUUGAAGAUUAUUUCAAUGUGUUACUGAAAUAUGUCAUUAGUCACAGAUCUUAAACCCUUCACUAUGGGGACGCCACUUUUCAUAGUUUAUUCGGUCAACACAAGAUGAUUUUAUUUUAGCCCAGAGCUGGCCCCAUGCAUGAGAGGUUGAGCGACGGGUUGCCGGCGGAUAGUACUGCGCAAACUGUUGUUAUUGGUGAAGAAGUCUAGCUCGGAAUAUGAAAAACUUUUGUAUUUUUUAUUUCUCCAGUUUUUCCUUCCCUUUAUAGACAAAAUUAAGACCAAACACAGAAUUUUCCUUGACUGGUUAUUAUGUGUUCCUCAAACUGCCUUAACUGUACUGUAUAUCUAACUGGUUUAUUCCUGUUACUUCACACAACCAAAGUAACACAUGUGAUAAGGUACAACACAUUAUUAUUGUUAUUUAUUAUUAUUAGUUGUAGUAAUAUAUCUGAUUUUGGAGCCAGAUAUUCUACUCUAGUGUGGGUAUUUAUGGUACUGCUCUGUGGUGUAUGCCAUCAAUAUACAGCGUCACACUUAAAGCUUUGCCUCAGGCCAGUGUCUUGGGUAUAUACUGCUGAUUGGGUUUAAAUGAUGUUAUGUGUAAAUUAAUUAAAGAACUGUGUAUACCCUUGAAUGUUAUCCUGUGUAUUUUUUUUUACUGCCAAAUUGUGUGUUAGAUGCUGUUGAUAUGUGCAGGAUGGUCUUAAGUGUACGUACAGUUGACAAUAAAAGACCUGUCUCCUCUUCUAUUGCUUCAUGAACCCUGAGAUUCAGACUCGUGAACCCUAAGCAUUUAUGGACAAAAUACUGCAUCAGUCUACUGCUUCGGGUUCAUGAGAGUGAAUCCCAUGGUUCAUGAAGGAACUAGAGGAGACAGGACUUUUGUUUGUGACUGUUCCUAUGUUUACAAUUGUUAAAAUGGAUAAUAUUUCACAAAUUAAAGAUAAAAAUGGUGGUUGGAAUGUAUUGAUAAAACAAACAACGAAUUACUAUAUCAGUGAAAGAAACGAGCAUUAGAGUGAUUUAUACGAGUUCCUAUGACUUUGACUGUUCUGAGGGUUUAUAAGGGAAGCCAAAGUGUGAGUUAAAUAGGACAUUAAAGACGAUAAUUAGACUCUUGGUAUAACAUCGUACAGAACCUUCUUUACGGAGACGAGGAAUGAAUACCCAAAUUACUGAAGACGACGAGAGAUAGACAAGCCGAUGGUCCUCUGAGGUGUUUGAGAGAUAUGUAAGCAAGAUAAUAUUAUACUAUAUUGUGACUUUCUGAACAUUGGUAUUACAGCAACUGUCCAAAAAUUAGAAUUACAAUUAUUAGCUGGAAUAAAAUGCCAUAAAUCAUAAUAUUGUUACUUAUUUUCUGUAAGAUUGUAAUUAGUUUUCAAUGGUUUUCUGCAAUUUGUUAAAGGUCUGAGGUGAGAGUAACAGAUGUUUCUUAUGAAUGGAUCACGUAAAAAAAAAAUCUGUUAAAACGUUUCAUUGGGAUUUAUCUUGGGAAAUAAAUCUUCUGUAUUUAGAUUCUGUGUACAAAAGAAAAUUCUGAAAUAUUUGUACUGUCCUGUAAUCAUUCAUUGUUUUAAUUCUGAACUAUCACAUGUGUUUGUUUUAAGGCAAAUUAAUGUACUGUAUUCACAUAAAUAUAUACACUGUAUCCUAUUUAAGUAUGUAAGAAUAUGAUUGGUGACCUUUUCAGCAGUAAUGGUAUCAGGUUAGAGUUAGGUAUUAAGAUUGCAUUUGGUUUACUUGAAGGUUUGGUGACUGUAGCAUUUCAGAGAUUAGUUCGACAGUUAGUACGUAGUUUGAUGAUGCUUCGUGCGUGUGUGUGUGUGUGUCUGUCUGUGUGUGCGUGUGUGUGUGAGUGGUAUAUACUGUACUGUAUCAUUGUUCAAUACUCAAGGUCAAGUUAUUCUAUGGUCAGUUUUUUAUUAUUUGUUUAUUUUUCUACUGUACUUGGUAAUUCUCCUCCCAUGUUGGUUUGAGUCCAUAUGAUGUACUCAGACUGUCGUGGGAGUCUAUGUUUGAGGCCUCCUGAAUUACUGUAAUUUGUAAUGUCAUCUUUGUAAAUAAAUCUCUCAUCAUUGUAGCAUCAUUAUGGUAAUACACUGAUCUUAUUUUCAGAA
rnacentral:lncRNA from 1 species